CAUGGUGAUCUGGUUUAGGAGUCUCGAGUUCAUGUCCAUCGACUUCGGCUACCUCAUCACACAGUCACUUACUUUGGCAGGGGGUAAGCCAUAAUAAUAAUGAUAAUAAAAUAUAAGCUCAUGGGUAAAUAACACAGUGAUUAGAAAAUAGACUACUCCUCGUAUAUGUAAGGUGACGUCAGAUUAGGUAGAGAAUGGAUUCUAAGUUAUCUCCUAUCUACUAAGUCAUA
rnacentral:lncRNA from 1 species